rnacentral:rRNA from 1 species
AUUGAACGCUGGCGGCAGGCCUAACACAUGCAAGUCGAGCGAGCGGCGGACGGGUGCGUAAUGUAUGGGGACUGCCCGAUAGAGGGGGAUAACUACGGGAAACGGUGGCUAAUACCGCAUACUAUCGGAUAACCCAUAUGGGAUUAGCUAGUAGGUGGGGUAAAGGCUCACCUGGGCGACGAUCUCUAGCUGGUCUGAGAGGAGGAUCGGCCACACUGGGACUGGGACACGGCCCAGACUCCUACGGAGGCAGCAGUGGGGAAUAUUGGACAAUGGGCGCAAGCCGGAUGCAGCCAUGCCGCGUGGAUGAAGAAGGCCUUAGGGUGGUAAAGUACUUUCAGCGGGGAGGCGUUACCCGAAGAAGAAGCACCGGCUAACUCCGUGCCAGCAGCCGCGGUAAUUC